ensembl:lncRNA
CACUCUUGACCUUGCACUCAUGGAAAAGGUAGUUCACCAUGGUAACCUGGAUCUCGAGGCUUUGCGGUUAGUCCAUCAUCUCAGCCCUCUUCAUGUCUUCACUUUUAUUGGCUGCACAAUUGAAAUGUCAUGCUUGGCCAGCAGAGGAGCCUGUAAUUUUUAACGCGUGAUUAAACCAUCCCUGCUAAAUGGAAAACGCUGCCUGACCAGACAACAAAAUGGGGGGAAGAGAAACACGAAGGUGCAGACAAACGGAGCAAAUCCGAUGCUGUUUUUUAAAGACUUAUUUUUCUUUUAUUUUUUAAGAAAGUGGCACUGAGGCACACGAUGCGCCACAUCAAAGCCAGAAUAUGUCACUGAUGUAAAGGAAAUCAGGUUCAAAUGAAUAUUAAUAAGCGGAACAAUUACCUCUGGGAAAUGUUGUCUGCAGCUUAGCUUUACUAACAUACACCUCACCUUUGGCUCGGUGGCAUCAGAGACGGAAUCCCCAGCAGGCAUUUCUGCUACAGCUGCUGCUAUAUUUGGAUGUCAUUUCUGCCCUUGCUCUCCAUCAGUCUGUUUCUGCCUUCUCUCUCACUUUCUCCUCCCCGCACCACUGUUGUUUUUUUUUAUAUAUGUGAAACAUGUGAAAGGAAAUCUCCUGCCUGCAAUAUCUGUGGAUUUGAGAGCUGUGUUAUAUGUCAGGUGGGAUAUUUUGUAAUACAUACAGCAAUAUUAACACAACAAAUAGGGUUUUCAUUAUUUACAGGAAAUGUCUGCGGACAGCGCAACAAUAUCUACCGCAGAUUGUUUGCUUUAUACGGCCCCAUGCUGAUAUUUCACUGCACAGCAAACCUUUAUAAUGAGUUCUACCUAUUUGAAAGCUGUUGCAAAAUUAUUGUCAACUUUCUGCACCACUGCUUGCUGGAACCUUUGCUUCAAACUGUACGCUAUUCAGCGGCACAGAUUAGCUUAGAUCCAUUGAUUGAACUUUAAAAGAACUCUCUGUGCUGAGAAGAACUCAAAAGGUGACUAGAGUUUAAUACACAGCUCCUCACACUUUGAGCUUAUACCUACACAUUCCUACACAUUUCUCCUCCUCCAGCUUUAGCAAGAUUCACACUUUAAUGCUAAUGCCAGUAUGAGCUUUAUAUAAGGAUUAGAUUUCCCCGAGUCUGCUUUCACCUUGAAGAUCUGACUUGAUUUAAGAACUUUUGACUUGUAUGAAAAGUAGCACAAAUUGGCGUUGCUUGUAAUUUUAAUUGUGCGUCUUUGUCUUGAAUGUUUGAAGUUAUGAGUUUCGGAGCAAGUUUAUUUUU